CUAAAAUGCACAGGAAGUACAAUCUAAGCUCUCCUACUGAAAAAGAACAAAAGCUACGUACCGUUAAGGUGAACAGCUGAAUUCAGAGCAGCCAAGAAGAGUUGGUGUCUUCAACUCAGCAGUUUGGAGUGUGGAUGAGAGAUAACUGAUGGAGUUGUGUGACUACCUCGAGGGGAGGAGUCACAGCACUGUGAGCAGAAAAAAAAUGUUAUAAAAUCAGCCGCAGCUACAAAUAUAUUUAAAACAUAAAAGUGCCGGCAAAAGUCUCCUGCAAUGUUAAAAAGCUCCUCUAAAAAUUUGAAUUGAUUAAUGUUAUUUACAUUUUAAGAAUACACACAUUUAUAGAACAUGUAUUAUUCACAUUAGUGCAUACAGCACACACAGCGUUGUGCUUCCCAGCUACCUGUUUUUGUUUUUUUUAAUCCUGACACUAUUUUUCUUUGAGAUAUUCAUAGAUGUACACAGUGCAAUAAGCAAAACGCCCCCUAACACACAUCAUUUAUUGUCUUAAAUGAAAAACAAAGAGUCCUUUUUACAUUUUUUAGAGAAGACAAGUAUAGUUUUACUUUAUUUAGAUAUUCAGUAUCUAAGACGUCUGAAAAAGAAAAAGGGCUCUCUAACCACACAACUGUCAAACUCUUAUCAAAGAGCUAUUUACAGUUGCGUCUGCACAUUUGAAAAAAAAAAAAAACACACAGCAGUACAUAAAAACAAAUAGAAGUGUUUAAUUUAGCCUGCUGAUGAAUGCAGUAUACCCUAGAGUGCAGACACGCAACUGACAAACUGACAAAUAACACCCUGAAUAACUCUCGACAUGUUUGAGACAAAAUAAACUUUGUGGAAGACAGUUCUGCACAAUCAUUAUGGAUUUAUUAAAAAAAAAAUGUUUACUUUCAGCAUGCCACCUUUAUCAUAUAAACGUCCUCGACGAGGGUGAGGACUAAAGGCCAGACAGCCACGUCCUUGUAAUUUAUCUCCUGUUGGUAUGAGGGAUCGCAAGGAGUAACAGCUGAGGGAAAUGGACUUGUACAUCUACACAAAAAGUACAAGAUUAGACUUCAUAGCAGGCGCCUUUCAAGACACUCAAGGACACCUUACAAGCAA
ensembl:lncRNA